ACGGGUGAGUAACACGUGAGCAAUCUGCCCCUGACUCUGGGAUAAGCGCUGGAAACGGCGUCUAAUACUGGAUACGAACCGUGGAGGCAUCUUCAACGGUUGGAAAGAUUUUUUGGUCAGGGAUGAGCUCGCGGCCUAUCAGCUUGUUGGUGAGGUAAUGGCUCACCAAGGCAUCGACGGGUAGCCGGCCUGAGAGGGUGACCGGCCACACUGGGACUGAGACACGGCCCAGACUCCUACGGGAGGCAGCAGUGGGGAAUAUUGCACAAUGGGCGCAAGCCUGAUGCAGCAACGCCGCGUGAGGGAUGACGGCCUUCGGGUUGUAAACCUCUUUUAGCAGGGAAGAAGCGAAAGUGACGGUACCUGCAGAAAAAGCGCCGGCUAACUACGUGCCAGCAGCCGCGGUAAUACGUAGGGCGCAAGCGUUAUCCGGAAUUAUUGGGCGUAAAGAGCUCGUAGGCGGUUUGUCGCGUCUGCUGUGAAAUCCCGAGGCUCAACUUCGGGUCUGCAGUGGGUACGGGCAGACUAGAGUGCGGUAGGGGAGAUUGGAAUUCCUGGUGUAGCGGUGGAAUGCGCAGAUAUCAGGAGGAACACCGAUGGCGAAGGCAGAUCUCUGGGCCGUAACUGACGCUGAGGAGCGAAAGGGUGGGGAGCAAACAGGCUUAGAUACCCUGGUAGU
rnacentral:rRNA from 1 species